rnacentral:rRNA from 1 species
UACGUAGGGUGCAAGCGUUGUCCGGAAUUAUUGGGCGUAAAGAGCUCGUAGGCGGCCUGUCGCGUCGGCUGUGAAAACCCGGGGCUCAACCCCGGGCCUGCAGUCGAUACGGGCAGGCUAGAGUCCGGCAGGGGAGACUGGAAUUCCUGGUGUAGCGGUGAAAUGCGCAGAUAUCAGGAGGAACACCGAUGGCGAAGGCAGAUCUCUGGGCCGUAACUGACGCUGAGGAGCGAAAGCAUGGGGAGCGAACAGG